rfam:Helianthus annuus linkage group 14, whole genome shotgun sequence.
GGCCAGUGAUGUAAGAAAGAUAUUUGCUACUCUUGAUGAGAUUAUCUCAUUUGAUGAUUCUUUAUCCACCAAGAUCUCUGAGGCC